rnacentral:rRNA from 1 species
AAAACGGAGAGUUUGAUCCUGGCUCAGGAUGAACGCUGGCGGUAUGCUUAACACAUGCAAGUCGAACGGUCUUUUCGGAGAUAGUGGCGGACGGGUGAGUAACGCGUGAGAAUCUAGCUUCAGGUCGGGGACAACCACUGGAAACGGUGGCUAAUACCGGAUAUGCCGAGAGGUGAAAGGCUAGCUGCCUGAAGAUGAGCUCGCGUCUGAUUAG